GGCUACUAUGUUGGACAGCUGAGGCUAAAGCUUAUCUGGCAGCUGAGAACCCUUGCUGAGCAGGCACUAUGGUAUCAGCCACAAGAAGGAAAGCUGGGAGCCCCUCUGAGUGCAACCAUUUUUUGUUGCAGAUGCCUUGAAGAAUCUGGACAGCAGAAUGCUCAGGCAUCAGAUGGUUCCCUCCACAUGAAUGUACCUGAGCAGCCAUGACAACUUCUGUAAUGUCACCAAAGGAGCGGAAGGAACUCAGAAAGUCCUGCCAGAACUCUUUGCUCUCCCUCCCUCCACUGCUUUGCUUUGUGUCAGUUCCUGUGAGAUUCUCAUUUGCAGUGAAGCAAGAGGGAAGAGUGCUGGCACUGUAGAGAUAUGGUGGCAAAAGCCUCG
rnacentral:lncRNA from 1 species